rnacentral:lncRNA from 1 species
CUGGCAGCACCGCCCGGACCGGGGAGCUUGUUACGGGCGGGUCGCGCGGACCCCCCGGCCCCCCUCCCAGGGCCGGUGUUUAUUGUAGGGUCGCCGGGCCCGCGAUCAGGCAGCGCCGGGGCAGCCCCGCCCGGGCAGGACCCGCUAUAAAUAGCCCCGCAGCGAGCGCACGUGUCUCUCUGCGCGCCGGGCCGGGCCGGGACAGAGCCAUGCGGGGAGGGGCCGGACGCCUGGGUUCCCGGGGGGCGUCUCACUCCCGCCUCGCAGCCCCGGCCUGGGCGGCGGUGAUGUGCGGCGCUGGAGCUGAGGACUCUGGGGCAUCUGGCUGGAUUUUUGCCCCAUGUUUAUCUCUGACCUGAGCCCAACAUGGUGAGACCCCCGGGGUCUCUGGACGGAGAGCCAAUGGCCAGAAUAGCGCAGAGGCAGGGCUCUGUGACACUCAGCCUCAGCCCAGGAGCCUCCCAGCUAUCUAGUUUUGCAGGUGUCGGGUGGCUGCCGGCGUUGGUUACGGAGAGGAGAAUACGGGGCCCUGCUCGGUGGGGAACUGAAAUGAGAAGUGGGGGGAGCGCCCAGCCCCCGCCUGCAGCGCUGUUCAGGGUGGACAGGAGCCGGCCCCACCAGCGUCCCGGGGGCGGGGGGGAGCCUGGGAGCAUCGCACACCGAACUGGGCUGGUGCCUCAAUAAACAGCUGUGCCACAAACUGCGUCUUUCUGCCCUGGGGGGGAAGGGGGCUGGUUCCCAGUGUUGCCAGCAGAGUGCCCGAGGGGGGCAGCAGGGGGGGUCUGUUGCCAUCUGUGCCCUGCCCCUCUG